GUUUGAUCCUGGCUCAGAGCGAACGCUAGCGGAUGGCUUAACACAUGCAAGUCGAGCGGGCAGCUUCGGCUGUCUAGCGGCGAACGGGUGCGUAACACGUGGGUAAUCUGCCUUCUGGUGGGGGAUAACCCGACGAAAGUCGGGCUAAUACCGCAUAUGGCCUAUGGGUCAAAGCAGCAAUGCGCCAGUUGAUGAGCCCGCGGCCCAUUAUUUAAUCCUAGUUGGCGGGGUAAUGGCCCACCAAGGGUACGAUGGGUAGCUGGUCUGAGAGGACGAUCAGCCACACUGGGACUGAGACACGGCCCAGACUCCUACGGGAGGCAGCAGUGGGGAAUAUUGCGCAAUGGGCGAAAGCCUGACGCAGCCAAUCCGCGUGGGUGAUGAAGGCCUCGGUGUAAGCCUGUCGUGAGGGACGAAGUUACUGACGGUACCGUCACCAAGAAAGACAACCGGC
rnacentral:rRNA from 1 species